rnacentral:rRNA from 1 species
AACGAACGCUGGCGGCAGGCCUAACACAUGCAAGUCGAACGGCCCGCAAGGGGAGUGGCAGACGGGUGAGUAACACGUGGGAAUCUUCCCUAUAGUACGGAAUAGCCCAGGGAAACUUGGUGUAAUACCGUAUACGCCCGAAAGGGGAAAGAAUUUCGCUAUAGGAUGGGGCCGCGUAGGAUUAGGUGGUUGGUGAGGUAAUGGCUCACCAAGGCGACGAUCCUUAGCUGGUUGGAGAGAACGACCAGCCACACUGGGACUGAGACACGGCCCAGACUCCGACGGGACGCAGCAGUGUGGAAUAUUGGACAAUGGGCGCAAGCCUGGUCCAGCCGUGCCGCGUGAGUGAUGAAGGCCGUAGGGUUGUAAAGCUCUUUUGGCGGAGACGAUAGUGACGGUACCCGGAGAAGAAGUCCCGGCUAACUUCGUG